UCGGGUGUGAGCGGGAGUGUAGAGGAUAUACAAACAGGAAAAAUUCAUAGUUAGAUUCUUGUGUCGCCAUAAUUGAGCAUUGUGAAAUGUCUCUCGACAUAUUAUCGGAAAUUAUAUUUUUCUCCGGACCGCGUGUGAUACUCGUGUAUUUGAAGCGCAGUUUAGUUUCGUGUUCGGUACUCGUAAUAAUUUUUCUCAGUGAAUUUUCCCGCGUGAGUACAGCAGUUGCAGUGCGAAUAGUUAAACGAUCUUACUUUCCGCUAGAUUUCUAUCCGCCGAAAGUUUUAGUCUGCAAGCCUCUAUUUUUUCUGUUCAGUUCAGUAGUUUGCUUUGAUCAGUGGAGUCACUAUAUAUCUGUCACUUGUGUCGGUUGUUAUUGUGCGAAUUUUCGGCAGUCUUGUCUCCGUAAUAUUUCCAUGAAAUCUGGUUUGUGGAUAUCGUUUUGGAAGUGAUUUUGCUCAUCAUAUAUUCCUCAGCGUUGAUUCGCCAACAUUCGAGAAGGCGAUGAAGAGGAUGGAAAUCUUCACCCUACGCAUCAGAGCUGUUCCUGACCUUGCAGAUCAUCGCUUCUUCACGG